rnacentral:piRNA from 1 species
GUAAGUCUGUAACUAUAGGAAGGGU